GAUGAAGAACGGAGCGAAAUGCGAUAAGUAAUGUGAAUUGCAGAAUUCAGUGAAUCAUCGAAUCUUUGAACGCACCUUGCGCUCCUUGGUAUUCCGAGGAGCAUGCCUGUUUGAGUGUCAUUAAUAUAUCAACCUUCUCUUUUUUGAGUUGUUUGGAUGUGGGGGUUUGCUGGCCUCUUAAAUGAUUCAGCUCCCCUGAAAUGCAUUAGCAGAACAACCUGUUCAUUAGCGUGAUAAUUAUCUAUGCUAUUGAAUGUGAGGGCAGUUCAGCUUUCUAACCGUCCUUGGACAAUUCAUCAUUAAUGUGACCUCAAAUCAGGUAGGACUACCCGCUGAACUUAAGCAUAUCAAUAAGCGGAGGA
rnacentral:misc_RNA from 1 species